rnacentral:rRNA from 1 species
CGAGUGCUUGCACUCAAUUGGAAAGAGGAGUGGCGGACGGGUGAGUAACACGUGGGUAACCUACCCAUCAGAGGGGGAUAACACUUGGAAACAGGUGCUAAUACCGCAUAACAGUUUAUGCCGCAUGGCAUAAGAGUGAAAGGCGCUUUCGGGUGUCGCUGAUGGAUGGACCCGCGGUGCAUUAGCUAGUUGGUGAGGUAACGGCUCACCAAGGCCACGAUGCAUAGCCGACCUGAGAGGGUGAUCGGCCACACUGGGACUGAGACACGGCCCAGACUCCUACGGGAGGCAGCAGUAGGGAAUCUUCGGCAAUGGACGAAAGUCUGACCGAGCAACGCCGCGUGAGUGAAGAAGGUUUUCGGAUCGUAAAACUCUGUUGUUAGAGAAGAACAAGGACGUUAGUAACUGAACGUCCCCUGACGGUAUCUAACCAGAAAGCCACGGCUAACUACGUGCCAGCAGCCGCGGUAAUACGUAGGUGGCAAGCGUUGUCCGGAUUUAUUGGGCGUAAAGCGAGCGCAGGCGGUUUCUUAAGUCUGAUGUGAAAGCCCCCGGCUCAACCGGGGAGGGUCAUUGGAAACUGGGAGACUUGAGUGCAGAAGAGGAGAGUGGAGUUCCACUGUUAUAAC